rnacentral:tRNA from 1 species
CGGGAUGUAGCGCAGCCUGGUAGCGUGCGUCGUUCGGGACGACGAGGUCGCAGGUUCGAAUCCUGUCAUCCCGACCA